UAUUACAUCACGCUGACGUUUCGUGAUCAAUGACUUUGGGGGUACAAAAAGGCUUGGAAUAAAAACCAGACAAGAAGCGUUGGACGACUGCUAGAGCGCUACAAGAACAUCAAACCGAGGGUGUGGAAAUGUCUCUUCUCACAAGUCUGACGCAAGUGUCCAUCCUUGCGAUAUUUCUCAUCCAGUGCGCGACCAGCCUUCCGGUUCUGGGCAGGUAUCUCGGCGAAGAGGACAGCAUCUCAACAACGGACAUAUUUUCACCUAGAAAGGUGUUAUUUCCCAGGGAUGAUGCAGAUAUGCUUAUUGAUGACCGAGACGGGAGAUCUGGGCUUCACACGAGGCAGUUGGGCG